AAAUUUCAGAUUUCAAUUCAUUAAAGAGCGGGUCAAUUGAGCCUCGGAGUCCUUCUCCACCCACGUAUCAAUUUUAAAAAAUGCAACAUUAGUAGGCGUUGCCUGGAGGACCGAGAGGGCGGAGCCGCGGCAGUGACGAAGACGAUGGCUAACUAGACGAAGCUAGCUCCCUUCACUCUGAGCAGUUAUUAGAAGUGGAGGACGUUUCUCCCCCUCCUUACACAGACACUCGAGAAGAAAGGGACCAAGUCUAUUUGGAGGAGACAAGCGGACCUGAGUCUUAUUGUUUUGAGCUUGUGAGUUGCCUGAAACUCCCAGAACCGACCCAACAGAAUCACCUCUGAAAGGUCCUCUGGUGUCUGCAGCUGGUCUCUGCUGGUGUCGUCAGGAUCAGGAGCUUCCAGAAGAAUGUGCCUUUCAAUGACUCUUUCCCCCUUAUUUGUUAUAUUAAUUAAAUAAAUCUCAAUUUAUAUA